UACGGAGGAUCCGAGCGUUAUCCGGAUUUAUUGGGUUUAAAGGGUGCGCAGGCGGUCUGUUAAGUCAGCGGUCAAAGCCCGGGGCUCAACCCCGGGACUGCAUUUGGAACUGUAUGGCUGGAGUGUCGGAGAGGCAGGCGGAAUUCCUAGUGUAGCGGUGAAAUGCGUAGAUAUUAGGAGGAACACCAGUGGCGAAGGCGGCUCUCUGGUCUGCAACUGACGCUGAGGCUCGAAAGCAUGGGUAGCGAACAGG
rnacentral:rRNA from 1 species